UCUCUGGAUCGGUGAAAAAGGAAGAGAUAUUUACAACACAUGGACACUUACCGAGGCUGAAUCAAAAGGUACUAAAAACAUACUACGAUCGUUUUGAAGCAUAUGUUGUACAGAAGACCAAUACGAUUUUCGCUAGGUACAAAUUCCAUGAGAAAGUACAGGGAGCAAGUGAAUCGUUUGAACAGUUUGUGACAGAACUGCGUCUGCUUGUGAAAGACUGAUUAUGUAAACAAGGAUGAGAUGGUCAGGGACCGUAAUGUAUUUGGAAUACACUCACCGCGAGUGAGAAACUUUUGAAUGUUGGGUCUGAGGUAACGCUGGACAAAGCUAUCGACAUAGCCAGAUCUCACGAGCUAGCACAGGCUCAGAUGAAAACCAUUUCGCAGUCAGACAGACGUCAAAGCACACCUCCGGUGCACAGAGAGGAGAGAGACAUAACUCCAAAACAUGUGGAUACAAAGUGCAUGGCGAACAAGGAAAUUGCCCAGCGAAAGGCAAACAGUGUACUAAAUGUGGAAAAUGGAAUCACUGUGCAAAAGUGUGCAGAGCUUACCGUGGAAAAACAGUACACACAGUGAGUGAAGAUGAAAUGUCAGAGUCAAACGCUGAUAAACUGUUUAUUGAUUCAGUGACACAAAGUCAAAUAUCAGAGACAGAGCAAGCUUUUGCUGACAUUGAGAUAGGAACACAAGGCACAGAGCUAACGUUCAAACUAGACACUGGUGCACAAGUAAACAUUAUUCCUCUGAAUUGUCAACGUCGUGUGUAUAGGUGGCAGGGAAGUCAGACGCAGGAGAGUAAAUGAAGUGUAGAUGGAGACUUUUAAUAAAUCACCAUGACAUGCUCCAAACACGAGAAAUAUAUAUACAUUAAAUAAAAAAUGGGUACGAGGACCCGUCGCGCACCUAUACACCAAUCAAACAACACUUGACAUAAAACAAUCUCUGACAAACACAUGAAGGGAAACAGAGGGUUAAAUACACAACAGGUAAUGAAUGGGAUUGACAACAGGUGUGUGGGAAGACAAGACAAAACCAAUGGAAAAUGAAAAAUGGAUCGAUGAUGGCUAGAAGGCCGGUGAAGUCGACCGCCGAACACCGCCCGGACAAGGAGAGGCAACGACUUCGGCAGAAGUCGUGACAUGAAUAAGUACCACAGCUUGACAUCUGAGUGCGAGCUACAGCCCACCACGCGCAGACUGACUGGUUAUGGUGGUGAACAGCUCCCAGUAAAAGGUGCAUGCACUUUCAAAUGCAAAUACAAGGAAUAGGAUUAUUCCCAGGAGAAUGUACCAUUCACCUUGACCCAGACGCAACCCCUGUGGUCUACCCACCGAGAAAGAUUCCCCUUGCUCUCCGUGCCCGUCAGAGAGUUGGCGAGCAUGGAGCAAUCUGACAUAGUCACCAAGGUUACAGAACCGACUGACUGGGUAAACGCCUUAGUGGUGGUGGAGAAACCACGCACAGGCAAGCUCAGAGUAUGUCUCGACCCAAGAGACUUGAACAAGGCUAUCAAACACCCCCAUUAUCCUUUACCGACGCUAGAUGGCAUCACACACAAGCUAGCGGGAGCACACUACUUCAGUGUCAUGGACGCUAGAUCAGGCUACUGGGCUAUCAAGCUCACAGAAGAGUCAUCUAAGCUCACAACAUUCAACACACCGUUUGGACGCUACAGGUUCCGUUGCCUGCCUUUUGGGAUCCACAGAAGAUCUCAGCCAUAAAAGAAAUGGAGCCACCAAAGAACCGUGCAGAGCUGGAAACAGUGCUUGGCAUGGUCAACUACUUAGCCAAGUUCUCACCCAGCCUCUCCAAUGCUAAUGCACCCCUGCGUCAACUGCUAAAGCAGUCCAGUGAGUUUCUCUGGGACAAGCAACAUGACAUUGCUUUCCAGAAUGUGAAAGACUUGACCACGAGAGAACCAAGACCAAUCCGUGCCUACUACGACCCCAUCAAAGAGCUCAGACUCCAAGUGGACGCGUCAAAGUAUGGACUAGGUGCAGUGCUACUGCAAGAAGGAAAGCCCAUCGGCUACACUUCCAAAUCUCUCAGACUGUGAAAUCAACAACGCUCAAAUUGAAAAGGAGCUCUACGCCAUUCUGUUCGGGUGUAAACGUUUCCAUCAGUACACAUAUGGACGACAAGUCAUUGUGGAAUCCGACCACAAGCCCCUUGAGUCAAUUAUGAGGAAACCACUAGCCGCAGCCCCGCCAAGGCUACAGAGAAUGAUCCUUCAACUACAAAAAUACAACUUCACAAUCCCUCACCGUCCAGGCAAAGACAUCCCUGUCGCAGACACACUCCCCAGGAAGUUUCUACCUAUAAGGACAGCAGCCUCAGUGAAGGCAUGGACAUGCAAGUGCACACUGUGUACAGCAACUUACCAGUUAGUGACACAAAACUGAAGGAGAUCCAAGCAGAAACAGAAAAGGACGCACAGCUGAGGAAAGUCAUACAGGAUGAUGGCCUGAGAGGAGAAAAUGUCCUCAGAGCGUCUCAGAUUUCUGGAACCAUCGUGAUGAACUAUCACAGAUCAACGGAAUAAUUUUCAAAGGAGAGAAAAUCAUUAUUCCUACCAGUCUGAGGAGAUUUUGACAAAAAUCCAUGCUGGACACAUGGGCAUGGAAAAGUGCAAACAGAGACCACGGGACAUUUUGUUUUGGCCCGGAAUGUGCAAACAAAUAGAGGACAUUGUUGGUAAAUGCUCCACCUGUCUUGAACAACGCCCCUCAAACACCAAAGAGCCAAUGUUACCUCACUGUAUCGCAGACCGACCCUGGCAAGUCGUGGCAACCGAUCUGUUCAACUAGAACAACGAGGACUACAUCGUAACAGUGGACUACUACAGCAGAUACUUCGAACUCGACAGCACCACAUCUGCAGCUGUGAUACACAAGCUGAAAGCAGCCUUUGCCAGGCAUGGCAUUGUAGAGACUUUAAUAUCUGACAAUGGGCCCUGUUACAAAUCAAAUGAGUUUGAAUCCUUCACAAAAGCAUGGGAGUUUACACAUGUCAACACAAGCCCGCAUUACCCUCAAAGUAAUGGCCUUGCUGAAAAAUCUGUGCAGAUUUCUAAAUCACUCAUGGAUAAAGCAGACAAGAGACCCCUACCUUAGUCUCCUUGAAUAACGCAACACUCCAGUUGACAACUUCAAAUCACCAGCCCAGCUGUUGAUGAGCCGCAGACUUCGCUCAAUCCUUCCCAGCACCAACCAGCAGCUACAACCUGAGGUCGUCAGCUACAAGGAAAUGCAUGGAAAACGUGCACAGAGACAACAACAAAAGCGAUACUACGACAGGUCAGCUAGACCACUGCCACCACUGAUCGACAGAGAGUCAGUUUGAAUCCAGGAGCAUGGCCUUUGGAAGCCAGCAGUCGUCAUCCAGCCAGCUAACACUGAACGUUCAUAGCACGUCCGCACCGCAGAAAGAGCAGUGUACCGCCGCAGUCGCCGUCACCUACUGAACACAAAAGAACAACACAGAUUAGAUGAACUGUUCCCCUGAAAGAGAACAUGGACUAAACACACACACACAGUACAACAUACUUACCUGCAACACCACAAAAACUGUUGACUGACACAGAAGCAUGCUCAGCAUCAUAUCGCACAAGGUCAGGAAGAGAGGUCAAGCCCAGAGCUGUCCUAGACCUGUGAAAUGUCAAAGAGGUGUAGGCGGAUCGCUGCCCUAAAAGAGUUCGACUGUAAACUUGUUAUUGAAAGUUAACUUGAAAUGCUUUGGUAUUGUAUUUGUUUGAAAUGUUACGAUGUUAUUUCUACAGUGAAAGCUGAGUUGCUGAGAAUCCCUUGUUUGAAAAGUAACAGUAUGUUGGAUUAUUGUUUCAGAGUCUGUUGAUUCAGUUGGUAUAGUAUGCAAUAUAAAUGGUUACUUACCUUGAGUUCAAACUGCAGAGCAUGUUUUCAAAAGAAACGCUUAGAAUAUGUAAACAUUUUUAUUUAAAAGGUGGAUGUAAUAUUCAUAUGUGUAAACAUACUGAAUUAUAAUUGGAUGUAUUUUACCGCCAUAUACUGUGCUAGGAUUGGUUAGGUGAUGGUCAGUUUGAUCCUGGUUGGCGAUACGUGAACAUGCCAGAUAUAGCUAGCUAAUAAAGAGCUAUGUUAAGAAA